rnacentral:rRNA from 1 species
UACAGAGGUCCCGAGCGUUGUUCGGAUUCACUGGGCGUAAAGGGUGCGUAGGUGGCAUGUUAAGUUUGAUGUGAAAGCUCAGGGCUUAACCCUGAAAUGGCAUUGAAUACUAGCGUGCUGGAGGUUUGGAGGGGGGACUGGAAUUCUCGGUGUAGCAGUGAAAUGCGUAGAUAUCGAGAGGAACACCAGUGGCGAAGGCGGCUUCCUGGAUCACCCCUGACGCUGAGACGCGAAAGCGUGGGGAGCGAACGGG